UACGGAGGGUGCAAGCGUUAUCCGGGAUUCACUGGGUUUAAAGGGUGCGUGAGGCGGGUAAGUAAGUCCGUGGUGAAAUCUCUGAGCUUAACUCAGAAACUGCCGUGGAUACUAUUUGCCUUGAAUAUUGUGGAGGUGAGCGGAAUAUGUCAUGUAGCGGUGAAAUGCUUAGAUAUGACAUAGAACACCAAUUGCGAAGGCAGCUCACUACACAAUGAUUGACGCUGAGGCACGAAAGCGUGGGGAUCAAACAGG
rnacentral:rRNA from 1 species